CCCAGGAUCUGGUGAAAGCCCUUGACAAGGGUGGCCAAGAGAAGUCACUGGCAUAGCCAGGAGGGGCUUCUCUGUUUCCAGACCCUGCUGCCGUGGGUCCUCUGUGUCACACUCACACUCCUGUCCCUUCUGUGUGCUCUAAAAGUUGGCUUUCUUCCCUCUGGGCCCUCAUCUACUCAGUUUUUGCUAAUGGGAUGCUCAAAGCUUGCCAGAGUGCCAAGAAAUGUUCCAGUCGACUUCCAGGCAAGACCAACUUCACCAGCUGAGCUCCCUGACAUCUGGUCCAGACCUCGGGCCUGAAAGCAUGAAUUCUUUUUUCAGGCUUCCUGGCUACUGGAAUGGUAUGUGAUCUUGGCCAUUGAAUAUGAGAAAACAAAACCCAAAAGAACACCAGAGGGGUAGUGGAAAAGGUAGAGGAAAACCUACCCUGAAAUCUUCACCUGUUAAGACAAACCAAGUCAUCAUUGUUCUCAAAGACUGGGGUGACUGGGUUGGCAAGAGUGGAGUGAUAUAAGAAAGGAGAAAGGAAUUGAAGCUUUAGAUGCAAAAAUAUAUGUGCAUAAAGGAUUAGGUUGGAGACACUGGCGAGGCAAAAACCUACAGGUCUGGAUCUUGCUAAGCAUGAGUUGGAAGGACGUGGUGAGUCACACUGGACAUGGCCAACUGGUGGCCCAUGGACUGAGCAGAACCUGUUGCUAGGGUUAUCCCCCUUUUAAAAAAAAUUAACCCAAGUUUGCUUUUAGCAGUUAGUAAUUGAAAGCAUUUACAACAAAUUCUGGAGUUCUGCCUUCUUUUGAGAAAUCAGAAGAUAAGGCAGAGCAGAACUUUUCCUCCCCCGGAGCAGGCAGCACUCUGGUCUCUCUCUGUGAGCCCCCAGCUCAGCACAGCCCCCGUUCUGGAUUGCAUGCAGCUGGCUUCAUUCCGUUCUUGGUCUACAUGCCCCUGUAGUCUCUGGAGUUUGCAGCCGUCUGUUAAAAGGCAAUGAGAGCACAGGAACAGGGCGACAAGGGUCGCCUGUUGACACAUGGUAAAGAAAGGUGACUUCCAAGUAAUAAGUGAGUCAAUAGUGCUUCAAAAGCACCUAGUACCAAGCACAAAUUGUACCCCAUAAAUAUGUUUAAUGACAAUGUGUCAAUUAAAAAAAUUUUUAAAUGCAUCUAGACUUAGGGGCCUUGAGGGCAGGCAAUACACAUUUUUAUCUUGGUGUUCUAAUGCCAUCAGGUUUUGUGAACAUUUGUUAAAAAAAAUAAGUGAAUGUUGUGGAUAUUUAAAAAUUAGAUCAGGCAGCUUCUUCUCCAUCAGUGAUUGUAUCAAUACAUUAAAUAUAAAUAUGGCAUUCAAGUGCUACUGAGGUCUUUAUCUUCAAGAUGGUCUUGCGAAAAUGUAUCUUUCUAGAACAGCAUUGUCCCUAACACUUUCUGUGAUGAUGAAAAUAUUCUGUAUCUGUACUGUAGACACUAGUCACAUGCCAACUGUCUAGUCUGAAGUCUAAAAUGUAGCCUGAAGAAGUAAAUUUUAAAAUUUUAUUUAGUUUUAGGUAAUUUAAAUAGCCAUGUAUGGCUAUUGGCUACUGUAUUGAAUAGUGCAGUUCUAGAAUAAGGUACAAGUAUAUAUAAGUUUAGAACUAUAGAAGUUUUCUCAUUUCAGAUGUUAAGGAGGGAAAAAAAUAAUUAAAAGCAAGUUAGCAAAUACUGUUUGAUCAUAUUUUUAUGUUAUUUUAAAUUGUGUGUGUUAUUAGAAUACAUCUAAAAAAUAUAUUCAAAAUAUUAGUAAUAUGUACCUCUGGAAGGAAUUGUAGUCUUGUUUUGGUUUUGCUGGGUUUUUUUCUUUUUGGUUUCUUCUC